rnacentral:rRNA from 1 species
GAAAGUUAAUAAGGGCGCACGGAGGAUGCCUAGGCUCUCAGAGGCGAAGAAGGACGCGAUAAGCUGCGAAAAGCCGCGGGGAUCGGCAAAUACGAAUCGAUCCGCGGAUAUCCGAAUGGGACAACCCAUCUAGCAAUAGAUAUCCUGCGAUGCAGGAGGCCAACCCGCUGAACUGAAACAUCUAAGUAAGCGGAGGAAAAGAAAACAAUAGUGAUUCCCGGAGUAGUGGCGAUCGAAACGGGAGGAGCCCAAACCAAGGUUGUCCAGGCAAUCUUGGGGUUGUAGGACCACGCGAUUUGAAUUGAUCCGAGGUGGAACCGUCUGGAAAGUCGGGCCGUAGAGGGUGACAGCCCCUUACACGGAAGGAGAUAAGAGAUAGUGGUAUCCUGAGUAGGGCGGGACACGUGAAAUCCUGUCUGAAUCUGCGGGGACCAUCCCGCAAGGCUAAAUACUACUGAGAGACCGAUAGUGGACCAGUACCGUGAGGGAAAGGUGAAAAGCACCCCGAACAGGGGAGUGAAAUAGUACCUGAAACCGUGCGCUUACAAGCGGUAGGAGUCCCGAUUAAUCGGGAUGACUGCGUGCCUUUUGCAUAAUGAGCCUACGAGUUAGUCGUCGUUAGCGAGGUUAAGUUGUUCAGCAACGGAGCCGAAGCGAAAGCGAGUCUGAACAGGGCGUUCAGUUAGCGGCGCUAGACGCGAAACCUUGUGAUCUACCCAUGGGCAGGAUGAAGUUUUGGUAACACAAAAUGGAGGUCCGAACCAGGGAGCGUUGAAAAGCUCUUGGAUGACCUGUGGGUAGGGGUGAAAGGCCAAUCAAACUGGGAAAUAGCUCGUACUCCCCGAAAUGCAUUUAGGUGCAGCCUCGUAUUAGUUUUGCAGAGGUAGAGCUACUGAUUGGAUGCGAGGGCUUCGCCGCCUAUCAAUUCCAGACAAACUCCGAAUGCUGCAAAAUGAUGUACGGGAGUGAGGGCGCGGGUGCUAAGGUCCGCGUCCGAGAGGGAAAGAACCCGGACCAUCAGCUAAGGUCCCCAAGUGUGUGCUAAGUUGAAAAAACGAGGUCUGAUUGCAUAGACAGCUAGGAUGUUGGCUUGGAAGCAGCCAUUCAUUUAAAGAGUGCGUAACAGCUCACUAGUCGAGCGAUCGGGCAUGGAUAAUAAUCGGGCAUAAGCACGCCACCGAAGCUAUGGGAUAGCCAUUAAAUUGGCGAUCGGUAGGGGAGCAUUCCAGCGGCGCCGAAGCCGCAGCGCGAGCUGUGGUGGAGCUUCUGGAAAAGCAAAUGUAGGCAUAAGUAACGAUAAUGCGGGCGAGAAACCCGCACGCCGAAAAGCUAAGGAUUCCUGAUCAACGUUAAUCGGAUCAGGGUUAGUCGGGACCUAAGGCUAAGCCGCAAGGCGAUGUCGAUGGCAAACGGGUUAAUAUUCCCGUACCCGCUAUGCAAUAAAAGUGACGGAGCGCCCAGCGUGCUACGGGGCGACGGAAGUCCCCGUUGAGCCUAGCCUUCGGGCGAAGCGAAGCAUGGUAAGCGCUUCCAAGAAAAGCGAGCAUAGCGGCCCGUACCGUAAACCGACACAGGUAGCUGAGGAGAGGAUCCUAAGGCGCUCGAGUGAUUCAUGGCUAAGGAACUAGGCAAAAUCACCCCGUAACUUCGGGAUAAGGGGAUCCCGCGCGAGCGGGACGCAGUGAAAAGGCCCAUGCGACUGUUUAUCAAAAACACAUGGCUAUGCUAAAUCGAAAGAUGACGUAUAUGGCCUGACACCUGCCCGGUGCCGGAAGGUUAAGUGGGGGGCUUAUCGUAAGAGAAGGCCUGAAAUGAAGCCCCGGUAAACGGCGGCCGUAACUAUAACGGUCCUAAGGUAGCGAAAUUCCUUGUCGGGUAAGUUCCGACCU